ACGGGAGUAGCUCAAUUGGCAGAGCACCGGAUUCCAAAUCCGGGGGUUGAGAGUUCAAGUCCCUCCUCCCGUG
rnacentral:tRNA from 1 species